GUCUGGUUGGCUCAGUUGGUAGAGCGUCGGUCUCAUAUCUCUCACAAUAUGACUUCCACCCAGUGGUAGCAAUCCGAAGAUCGCGAGUUCGAUCCUCGCACCGGACA